rnacentral:tRNA from 1 species
ACAUUGGUGAUUCAAUGAUAGAAUUCUUGUCUUUCAUGCAGGAGACCCAGGUUCAAUUCCCAGCCAGAGCA